GAUGAACGCUGGCGGCGUGCCUAAUACAUGCAAGUCGAGCGCACGGACGAGAAGCUUGUUUUUCUGAUGUUAGCGGCGGACGGGUGAGUAACACGUGGAUACCCUACCUAUAAGACUGGGAUAACUUCGGGAAACCGGAGCUAAUACCGGAUGAUAUUUUGAACCGCAUGGUUCAAAAGUGAAAGACGGUUUUGUUGUUACUUAUAGAUGGAUCCGCGCUGCAUUAGCUAGUAGGUAAGGUAACGGCUUACCAAGGCAACGAUGCAUAGCCGACCUGAGAGGGUGAUCGGCCACACUGGAACUGAGACACGGUCCAGACUCCUACGGGAGGCAGCAGUAGGGAAUCUUCCGCAAUGGGCGAAAGCCUGACGGAGCAACGCCGCGUGAGUGAUGAAGGUCUUCGGAUCGUAAAACUCUUUUAUUAGGGAAGAACAUAUGUGUAAGUAACUGUGCACAUCUUGACGGUACCUAAUCAGAAAGCCACGGCUAACUACGUG
rnacentral:rRNA from 1 species